rfam:Eutrema salsugineum unplaced genomic scaffold scaffold_2, whole genome shotgun sequence.
GAUCAGUUGAUGAGCAAAUACUGCAACAAUAUGACGGAGACAAUCUAUAUGAUUAUUAGUAUUUUAUUCUCUGAUGAUC